rnacentral:rRNA from 1 species
AUUGAACGCUGGCGGCAUGCCUUACACAUGCAAGUCGAACGGCAGCACGGGAGCAAUCCUGGUGGCGAGUGGCGAACGGGUGAGUAAAGUAUCGGAACGUGCCCAGUCGUGGGGGAUAACGUAGCGAAAGUUACGCUAAUACCGCAUACGAUCUAUGGAUGAAAGCGGGGGAUCGCAAGACCUCGCGCGAUUGGAGCGGCCGAUAUCAGAUGAGGUAGUUGGUGGGGUAAAGGCUCACCAAGCCGACGAUCUGUAGCUGGUCUGAGAGGACGACCAGCCGCACUGGGACUGAGACACGGCCCAGACUCCUACGGGAGGCAGCAGUGGGGAAUUUUGGACAAUGGGCGAAAGCCUGAUCCAGCCAUGCCGCGUGCAGGAUGAAGGCCUUCGGGUUGUAAACUGCUUUUGUACGGAACGAAAAGGUUUGGGCUAAUAAGCUGAGCUCAUGACGGUACCGUAAGAAUAAGCACCGGCUAACUACGUGCCAGCCGCCGCGGUAA